UCCUAAUUCAAUUUUUAGUGGCUGUUUGGCAGGGAACUGGUAGCAUUAUGUCAUAGACUUGCUUGGUGAAGAUUUCUAUAAGCAACUAGAAAGUUACUUUAUUCGUUUGAGGCUUCUAACACCCUAUUGAACUAAACUUCUCCCUAUUGGACCUGCACUUGGGGAUUUCUGCUCAGCCUGUACCCAAACAUCAUCAUGUGGCUGAUGCUAAGUACUGCACAGGAUUACAUGCCCGUGAGGUCCACUAUGGGGGGAGCAUUGCCUUCCUGUGAAGCAUCCGUAGAUGGGCCUUUCCAGGAAGCAGGAUUCCAGACUUGAUUAACUGCUCAAUCCAGUCAGUCAGAAAAGGACAUGCUGAAUUUGAAGACUCAGGUUCCCACUCAAAUCCCAAGGAACCAGAUUAAAAUAUAAUUGGAAAAUGUUUGAUAA